rnacentral:rRNA from 1 species
GAUGAACGCUGGCGGCGUGCCUAAUACAUGCAAGUCGAGCGAACAGAUGAGGAGCUUGCUCCUCUGACGUUAGCGGCGGACGGGUGAGUAACACGUGGAUAACCUACCUAUAAGACUGGGAUAACUUCGGGAAACCGGAGCUAAUACCGGAUAAUAUAUUGAACCGCAUGGUUCAAUAGUGAAAGACGGUUUUGCUGUCACUUAUAGAUGGAUCCGUGCCGCAUUAGCUAGUUGGUAAGGUAACGGCUUACCAAGGCAACGAUGCGUAGCCGACCUGAGAGGGUGAUCGGCCACACUGGAACUGAGACACGGUCCAGACUCCUACGGGAGGCAGCAGUAGGGAAUCUUCCGCAAUGGGCGAAAGCCUGACGGAGCAACGCCGCGUGAGUGAUGAAGGUCUUCGGAUCGUAAAACUCUGUUAUUAGGGAAGAACAAAUGUGUAAGUAACUAUGCACGUCUUGACGGUACCUAAUCAGAAAGCCACGGCUAACUACGUG